rnacentral:rRNA from 1 species
UACAGAGGUGGCAAGCGUUGUUCGGAAUUACUGGGCGUAAAGGGCGCGUAGGCGGCCAUCUAAGUCAGACGUGAAAUCCCCCGGCUUAACCUGGGAACUGCGUCUGAUACUGGGUGGCUUGAAUCCGGGAGAGGGAUGCGGAAUUCCAGGUGUAGCGGUGAAAUGCGUAGAUAUCUGGAGGAACACCGGUGGCGAAGGCGGCAUCCUGGACCGGCAUUGACGCUGAGGCGCGAAAGCCAGGGGAGCAAACGGG